GAUUAAUUACCUCUUGCAGAUCGUUGUGCGAAAGUUCGAGAAAUUUCAGUCGACGUGCCUUUUGUAGCGUACCAUCCAAACUGCGGAUCUUAUUGUGUUGAAGAUACAAACUUUCCAAACGAUGCAGGUGGUUCGUGAAUGGACGUAAAUUUUCGGUAAUCAAGAAAGUGUCCGUACCGUAAGGUUCGAUUCAGGCUUUGUAAAUGAUUGCGGCCAACGUGUAAGUGCUUCACUAACGGUGGUAACGAGCCUGGCACCAUUUCUGAAAUUGCAUUUCCGGCCAGAAGAAGAUGUUGUAAUGUCGGAUUGUACUGAAAAUCAUAGUGCGUGAGAACGAGAGAGCGAGCGAACGAGCGAGCGAGCGAGAGAGAGAGACAGAGAGAGAGAAGCAAGAAGGAAAGGAAGAGAUGAAAGAUGAUUUGAACAGAUAAUAUUUAGCCGUAUCGACAAACUCGAUUAAAUACGAGGAUGUGCGACGUUUAAUCAAGAAUGGCGUUGCAUGAUAAAUAUUAUAAUGGCUUACUGAAGCAACAUAUAGCGAAAAUUUUUUGAACUGUACUAAAAAAGUUCAUGAUGCAACGGAAGAGUUUAAAAUGUUGUUGUUCGCAUUUAUUGAAACGAUCGAUUCGAAUCAACAUCUGUUUACGGCUGUCACGCGAUAAACAUUUUUCUUCUGAUAAUUCGUCACAUAGGCGAAUUUAUUGUUACAUCAAAUUUAUCUGUUUUUCUCUUAUUUACAUACAUAUUUAAUAGAAUAUUCAGAGAUAUUUAAUUCACUAUAAAGUGCAUGAAUAAGCAGAGAAUUUAGCGUGUCUCGGUUACUUUAGAAUCAUGAUGAACGUUAUGAAUUCUUUUUAUUCUCUUGCAUAAAAAAUACGAAUAAUAAUUGAUUUAACUUUACGAGCAAACGCGUCGUAUAAAACAUACGUACGUAUAUACGUGUUUAACACGAUUCUCUAAAUAUGUUUGAAAUUGUUCUUCUUAAAAUUGAAAAAUAGUAGUAAAAAAAAAAAAAAAAGUUUGCACACAGUUUUUUACAUUUCCUAUUUUUUUAUUUAUUUAUCUAUUUUUUUCGUUUCAUGAAACGUGCGAUAAAUCACACGAGGCAACCGUGAAAAAAAAAAAGGAAAAAAAUUCUCACAAGUAGUACGAUUCGUCUGGGGAACGAUUGACGGACAAUUCUGUGCACGUGGCCAGUCACGUGCGCGACAAGCGCCAGGGAAACCCCACCAAGCUCUACUAGCUGUCUUCCUCUCUUCGAGUAUGAAUUGUUCGUUCAUACGCAGGUUACAAAUAUAUAUCGUGAAGUCGCGCAUAGUGUGUGCAAAACGUGUUUAAAAGAAAAGAAAUUAUCCUAUUGAUUUCGUUACAAUGAAAAAAAGUAAGAAAAGAAAAAAAAAAUAAAAAUAAAAAUAAACGAAUAGAAAUCAAAAAAAAAUAUUUUCGAUCGGAUUCUAUGUAUAACAUCACGUAAAUGUUCAACGAUCUGAAACGAUUUUUUGUAUAAUUUAUAAUUUAUUUAUUUUAAUAUCUCUUUCGUUGUAUCAUAUUAAAAAUAAUAAUAAUAAUAAUAUACGAGAAAUUUUCCUUGUGAACAGGAAUAUCAUGCUACGAUGAAUUAUGCUCGCAAACGCUCGAUCAUUCGGCGCUCGAAUCAGAUCAGGCUUAAUCGGCUCGAUAAAUGCAUAUCUUUGCAGAAAUAUUGAAACGGUCAAAAAAGGUUACGUCAACUCUCGUAUAUUGAUCACAUAUUAUGACGUAUAUUUAUAAUUUAUUUUCUUCCUGUUUAUAAACUAUUUUGAUGAUUA